UUUGCUGACUGGUGGGUAUUGGAUUGCAGUUGACCCUUUUCUUAGGCAGAACACAUUUAAAAGCACACAUUUCCCAGAUCUGAGACACACACACACACAUACAAGCUGAAAAAGCAUAGCGGGAGGCAACUGACUGGCCGUGAGGAGUUCAGGGGCUCUGGGGGUCCAGGAAAGGCCUCCUGUAGGGCCUGUGUGCCAAACCAAACAGCACCUGCAUCUAAACCCAUGGGGGCUCCAGGCUCUGUUUAUUCACCUGCCUGUCUGCAGGACUGCAGCAAAGCCCUGGAAAUCACAGGACUCAGACAACUUCACUCAUCUUCCCAGGGACCCUUCCGCACUCCCACCUGACAUCCAGCUGUGCCAGGAAAUGCUCCAAUUAAAUGUUAAUUCACAUAGAACUCUGGAGUAGAGAGAAAACGAUCAGUUUUCGAGGUAAAACAAAAUGAAACUAAGUUUUGUAAAAUCUCAAAGUGUUGGUACAAAGAAUUAAGGGUAAAAAUGUUGAUAUAAAGGGUUGAGAGAACUAGUAAAUACUUAAACAUAAGACUGUUUAUCCUGGGGAGGACCCCACCCAACCCUCAGAAUGCAGAGGAGGCCCCAGACUCCAGGCGGGAGGGUGAGGGGCACAGGACGCGCGGGGAGGACGCCCCAUUAGCCUCCCUGUGAGCACUUCUGGUAGAAGGCCUGUCCCUUGUGUUUUUGUCAGACUUGCUCAGCUUCCCUCUGCUCUCUCCUUGGGUGGUGGCCUGUUUCAGGCAGGCGCACCAAGGCCCCUCCAGAACGCGCGCACUGAGAUAGAGAAGCUUCCUCGAAUGACUAGGAAAAAGCGAUUUCUCCCUCGGGAAGUAUCUUGGUGGGUCUUUUGCCCCCAGUGUGUGCUGCGUGUCCUGGUUGGAAUCAUCAGCUCCUCCAUCUCACUGUCUUCUAGGGGACCUGGGAGAAAGCUGGCCGGCUGCCUGCACUGGCUGUGACCCACCUGCUCCCAGAAAGACCUGGGUCCCCAGGGCCCCGGAGUCCACUGAAGGCAUUCCUAAUGAGCAGGGAAGGUGUGCCCAGACUGCCUGUGACCCUUCCUUGCCCAGCAUCGCCCCACCACAAGCAGAGCUGGGCAGAGGUCAUCUCUGUAGCUGCAGCCCUGGCACUGCCUCCGAUGGAGUGCAAGCUGAGGUUCGCGCCAAUCUUGCACCCCUUGUGAGCGCCCAGAAGUUGAGCUGCCCUCCGGCUGCUCUGUCAGAAGAAAAUGGAAAGCUAGAGAUGCCCGCUUCGCCAGCUCCCUGGGAGAAGGUACUUCUGAGAGUGAGUCCCUUCCACAUGAGGGGCCAGAAUUCCCUUUGAACAGCUUGUGUGUCCAGUCAGCUCAUGGAAGCCGCCCCGCCCCGCAGUAGUGAGUUAGACAUAGGUUCUUGUCUGUGUGUGCUGGUGAAGCUGCCAAGCUUGAAUUCUGUUGGAACAAACCAGGAUGUGGCCCAGAGAGAGGGACACAGGGUG